rnacentral:misc_RNA from 1 species
AACGCAUAUUGCGCCCUUUGGAAUUCCAAGGGGCAUGCCUGUUCGAGCGUCAUGGCAAUCUUCAAGCUCUGCUUGGUGUUGGGCGUUUGUCCCGCUCUUGCGCGGACUUGCCCUAAAGGCAUUGGCAGGGGAUCUACGGUGGCCGCCGAUAGAGAGCGCAGGCAGUGUGUGCGCUCCCCGCGGUUCCGCCGUGUUCCUCGUCCAUAAAGCUCUUUUAUUCGAAUGACCUCGGAUCAGGUAGGGAUACCCGCUGAACUUAA